rnacentral:rRNA from 1 species
AUUGAACGCUGGCGGCAUGCUUUACACAUGCAAGUCGAACGGCAGCGCGGGCUUCGGCCUGGCGGCGAGUGGCGAACGGGUGAGUAAUACAUCGGAACGUGCCCAGUAGUGGGGGAUAGCUCGGCGAAAGCCGGAUUAAUACCGCAUACGACCUGAGGGUGAAAGCGGGGGAUCUUCGGACCUCUCGCUAUUUGAGCGGCCGAUGGCAGAUUAGCUAGUUGGUGGGGUAAAGGCCUACCAAGGCGACGAUCUGUAGCUGGUCUGAGAGGACGACCAGCCACACUGGGACUGAGACACGGCCCAGACUCCUACGGGAGGCAGCAGUGGGGAAUUUUGGACAAGGGGCGAAAGCCUGAUCCAGCAAUGCCGCGUGUGUGAUGAAGGCCUUCGGGUUGUAAAGCACUUUUGGCGGGAAGGAAAAGGACUGUGCCAAUACCACGGUUCGAUGACGGUACCCGCAGAAUAAGCACCGGCUAACUACGUG